CAGGAAUAAAUACUCUGGCCUCUUCCUCCUCCUGUUGUCCAAUCGCUUGCACUGCAUUUAUCAAACCCAACUAAAAGCUGAGGGCAGAUGAGCCUGGGUAACACACUCCUUCCGGAUCAGCCUCCUGGGGCAGGCAGAAUCACAAAGAAUACAUCAGGAGACACACACACUGAGAAUGACCCCAUCUUGCCCUUGUCAAAGACAUGGAGUGGAUAAGCCUUACUUCUCUUACCAUCUAAACUUCUUUUGAACGUCCUAGAAUGCUCACAAAUGUCUUCCCCAAAUGCUUGUUUUUGCUGCAUAGCAAAGUAUUAGACUACUUCUCACUCCCACCACCCUGACAGCUUUAAGCAGGAAGAGGAAUAUUUUCCAGAAUGAAUCCUAUCUGAUGGCCUUUCCCCUAUUAUUAAAAUUCGCUUCCUUUUGUGGUUGGCUGUUUCUCAUUGCAGACAUAUCCCACACUCUGGGAUCAGAGCUUGACCUAACUCUCUGAACUGGGAUGUUACUAAUCAAGUGCUCCCCUUGUAUCAGCUAUUCUUAUCCUUGUGAUUGUCUCACGUAGAAAAUGUUGAAUGGAGGAUGUUCCCUAUUAAGUAGAUGAUGGAAAGGGUUCCUUAUGGAUGAUCACCGCUUUUCAGAAACCAG
rnacentral:lncRNA from 1 species